UACGUAGGGUGCAAGCGUUGUCCGGAAUUAUUGGGCGUAAAGAGCUUGUAGGCGGUUUGUCGCGUCUGCUGUGAAAUUUCGGGGCUCAACCCCGAACUUGCAGUGGGUACGGGCAGACUAGAGGUAGGUAGGGGAGAAUGGAAUUCCCGGUGUAGCGGUGAAAUGCGCAGAUAUCGGGAGGAACACCGGUGGCGAAGGCGGUUCUCUGGGCCUUACCUGACGCUGAGGUGCGAAAGCGUGGGGAGCAAACAGG
rnacentral:rRNA from 1 species